CUCUUUCUUCCUCUCUUGAAGAAAGAGUGAGAGAAAGUUUGGGCGAAAGAAUACAACUGGGGUUGUCACCAGUCCCUGCCGGAGCCUCAUGGAGCUUUAGGUAUUUUCACUCAAUAAACACAUACAACAUCCGGUCUGGG